rnacentral:sRNA from 1 species
UUUUGAAAAUUAAUAAUGUAUUUCGUUUUUUAAUGAAAUUUAAUUAAUUAAAUUAGUAUUUGACUUUUUAAUUUUUAAAGAGAUGAAUUAAUUUACUCUUUAAAUUUUAUUUCUAAUGGCAUACCUAUAUAAUUACUUACAAAAAAUAAGGUUACAUUUAAAAUGUACUUCCCAAAUAAUAUAGUAGGAUUAUAUAUUAUGAUGAGUGCAAUUUUUCGAAAACCCAAGCAUGAU